rnacentral:lncRNA from 1 species
CGCGCACGAGCACCUCCUCUGCCGCCCCGCGCUACGCUGCUGCCCUCGCCGCUCUCUGGGCCGGGCUUCCAGGAGGCCGCGGCGGCCCAUUCCCUCGCGCUCGCGCUGCCGCUUUCGUCGGAGAGCUCCGACCAGGACCUCGCCAGGCCCAGAGACAAGGUACGUCAUGCACGAUUGAUUCCAGUUCUUGCCUGCCAAGAUCAAUAAGCAAUAGUUCUAUCAAUUGGUACAUGCAUACAAAUUUCAUAACUAGCUGAGCUAAUUGAUUCAAUUCUCUUCCGUACGUGUGCCGGUCGUCGUGGGCGGAGGUAGGCGGAGAUCAGCACCAUCGCGGAGACUAGGCUUAGUAGAGAAACUGCCCCGCAUCCGGCUGCUCGCCGAGUCCACUACGACCGGCGUACGUCGAGGCAGGCGGAGGGCGUGUUCCCGCAAGGGAGGCUGGACGAGCUGGCGCUGCUUGUGGAUAUCUCCCGUCAGGGGAAUACUCCACGUGGCUGCUCACUAGAAACAAAGAAGAGAAAGGGAGGGAAGAGAGAGCUUCGGUGGAGAGGGGAAGAAUGGACAGGCCGGGGUGCGGCUUGCUGGGAGCUAACGCGUGGUCAACCUUACCGGUGGGUCCGGUCGGUCAUAAACGCGUAUAUAGGCCGGAAUCAAUGAAAUCAGUGAUAUGUGCAACAAUUUCACUUAAUUGCGGUGGUUCUGCGCGAAAAUUAGUAAAACGAUGGUUUUCGCAACGAGUC